rnacentral:rRNA from 1 species
GCUCAGAACGAACGCUGGCGGCGUGCUUAACACAUGCAAGUCGAAUGAUGAAGUUCCUUCGGGAAUGGAUUAGUGGCGAACGGGUGAGGAACACGUGAAGAAUCUGCCCUCCACUUUGGGAUAACUCCGGGAAACCGGGGCUAAUACCGAAUAUUGAAAUAUAAGUGGCAUCACUGAAUUUUAAAAGAAUUUCGGUGGAGGAUGACUUCGCGGCCUAUCAGCUUGUUGGUGAGGUAAUGGCUCACCAGGGCAACGACGGGUAGCCGGCCUGAGAGGGCGACCGGCCACACUGGGACUGAGACACGGGAAAGACUCCUACGGGAGGCAGCAGUGGGG